UGUUUCAAGAGGAGCCCUUGGGAAUCGCAGCCAUUUACCCACGUGCCUAGAGCGUUCAGUGCACACGUGUCAACUUCCUCACAAAACUCUACUGGGAAUUAGCAUGGAUCACAAAAAUACAGAUGCAUUAAAACAUUGCUUGAAAUGCUACAGAGUGCUCCAGGCUGAUAAACAGCUGAGGAAGACCUAGCUAAGCUACGCCACCACCCACGAAAGGAGACCCCCUCCCACAUCGAAAGACUCUGAAGAGGAGCAUAAACAUUUUUCU
ensembl:lncRNA